GUGACAGCAGCCGCGGUAAUACGGAGGGUGCAAGCGUUAAUCGGAAUCACUGGGCGUAAAGCGCACGUAGGCGGCGGCGUCAGUCAGAUGUGAAAGCCCCGGGCUCAACCUGGGAACGGCAUUUGAUACUGCGCGGCUCGAGUCUGCUAGAGGGGGGUGGAAUUCCAGGUGUAGCGGUGAAAUGCGUAGAUAUCAGGAGGAACAUCAGUGGCGAAGGCGGCUUCCUGGAUCAAGACUGACACUGAGAGACGAAAGCGAGGGGAGCAAAUGGGAUUAGAUACCCCCGUAGUCC
rnacentral:rRNA from 1 species